rnacentral:rRNA from 1 species
GACGAACGCUGGCGGCGCGCUUAACACAUGCAAGUCGAGCGAGAACCUGGGCUUCGGCCCUGGGGACAGCGGCGAACGGGUGAGUAACACGUGGGUAAUCUGCCCUCGGCAUCGGGAUAGCCCGGGGAAACCCGGAUUAAUACCGAAUGGCCUCCGGAGCCUCCGGGCGCCGGAGAAAAGGUAGCUUCGGCCUCUGGCCGAGGAUGAGCCCGCGGCGGAUUAGCUUGUUGGUGGGGUAACGGCCCACCAAGGCGACGAUCCGUAGCUGGUCUGAGAGGACGAUCAGCCACACUGGGACUGAGACACGGCCCAGACUCCUACGGGAGGCAGCAGUGGGAAUCUUGCGCUAAUGCGGGAAACCGUGACGCAGCGACGCCGCGUGGGGGAAGAAGGCCUUCGGGUUGUAAACCUCUUUCAGGAGGGACGAAGCUACUCGGGUUAAUAGCCCAGAGGGUGACGGUACCUCCAGAAGAAGCCCCGGCUAACUACGUGCCAGCAGCCGCCGUAACAC